rnacentral:rRNA from 1 species
UACGUAGGGUGCGAGCGUUGUCCGGAAUUAUUGGGCGUAAAGGGCUCGUAGGCGGUUUGUCACGUCGGGAGUGAAAACUCGGGGCUUAACUCCGAGCCUGCUUCCGAUACGGGCUGACUAGAGGUAUGCAGGGGGAGAACGGAAUUCCUGGUGUAGCGGUGAAAUGCGCAGAUAUCAGGAGGAACACCGGUGGCGAAGGCGGUUCUCUGGGCAUUACCUGACGCUGAGGAGCGAAAGUGUGGGGGAGCGAACAGG